rnacentral:rRNA from 1 species
UACAGAGACUGCAAGCGUUGUUCGGAUUCAUUGGGCGUAAAGGGUCCGCAGGCGGUUUGUUAAGUCGGAUGUGAAAUCUCACAGCCUAACUGUGAUAGGUCAUUCGAAACUGACAAGCUAGAGGAAUGGAGAGGAAACUGGAAUUGCUGGUGUAGCAGUGAAAUGCGUAGAUAUCAGCAAGAACACCGGUGGCGAAGGCGGGUUUCUGGACAUUUCCUGACGCUCAGGGACGAAAGCCAGGGGAGCAAACGGG